rfam:Pseudomonas sp. StFLB209 DNA, complete genome.
CUGCGGCGCAGACACACAGUCCGCGCUGCAGUUUUAACCAGGGCAGGGCUCGCAAGGCCAGUGCUCUAACUUUGAAGAAAUGAGACCAGCAGGGGCAUUCGGGCUGGUGCCCGGACUAUCUGCGUGAUCCUUAGUGGCUUGUUACGGUCGCUGCACACGACCGUCUCAGACUCGCUCUGUGUCUUCGCCGGUGGUGUCCCCUUACCGAGGGUGACCA